rnacentral:tRNA from 1 species
GGGGGCUUGGUGAAGUGGUAUCACGGAUCUCUCCAAAAGAUCAGUCGUGGGUUCGAUUCCUACAGCCCCUGCCA